rnacentral:rRNA from 1 species
AUUGAACGCUGGCGGCAGGCCUAACACAUGCAAGUCGAACGAGUGGCUGCCGGGUGAGUAAUGUCUUGGAAACAGCCUGAUGGAGGGGGAUAACUACUGGAAACGGCAGCUAAUACCGCAUAGCAUCGGAGGUGCCCAGAUGGGCUUAGCUAGUAGGUGGUGUAAAGGCUCACCAAGGCGACGAUCCCUAGCUGGUCUGCGAGGAGAGCCAGCCACACUGGAACGGGGACACGGUCCAGAGUCCUACGUGAGGCAGCAGUGGGGAAUAUUGCACGAUGGGCGCAAGGCGGAUGCAGCCAUGCGGCGUGUAUGAAGAAGGCCUUCGGUUUAUAAAGUACUUUCAGCGGGGAGGCGUUACCCGGGGAAGAAGCACCGGGUAAGUCCGUGCCAGCCGCCGCGGUAAUAC